UGGGGAAUAUUGCACAAUGGGGGAAACCCUGAUGCAGCGACGCCGCGUGAACGAAGAAGGUAUUCGUAUCGUAAAGUUCUGUCCUAUGGGAAGAUAAUGACAGUACCAUAGAAGAAAGCUCCGGCUAAAUACGUGCCAGCAGCCGCGGUAAUACGUAUGGAGCGAGCGUUGUCCGGAAUUAUUGGGCGUAAAGGGUACGCAGGCGGUUUAAUAAGUCGAAUGUUAAAGAUCGGGGCUCAACCCGGCAAAGCAUUGGAAACUGAUAAACUUGAGUAGUGGAGAGGAAAGUGGAAUUCCUAGUGUAGUGGUGAAAUACGUAGAUAUUAGGAGGAAUACCAGUAGCGAAGGCGACUUUCUGGACACAAACUGACGCUGAGGUACGAAAGCGUGGGGAGCAAACAGG
rnacentral:rRNA from 1 species